CUACGAUGUGCACCUUUGGAAUAGAACUACUAUUAAGAAUCUGCCAAAGCAGAAAGAUCAAAGCUCCUGUGGUCUGUUUGUGCUCUUGUUCAUACAGUACUGGACAGGAAAAAAACUUUCAAAAAAAAUUACACAGAAAGAUGUAGACAUUUAUAGGAAGCAACGACCAUGCGACAUGCACUACAGCGGGAAGAACAAGAUCGACGUAAGAAAGAUGUCAAAAAAACCAGACGCAGUGCCUGCUCGACGAUCGUCUCGCAGAAAAAGAAAGAGGACAGAAGAUGUUCCUGGGACUUUGAGUGGUGAAGACUAGCAAACCAGUUUACUACAAACAUUUGUCCUGAUAGGCCAUACAAAUUAGUUCGUGAUUAAAUUUUAUGCAAUAAGCUUAGCUAUGUAACA